CAGAUUCUGUGUCUCCCUCUCUCUCUGCCCCUCCCCUGUUCAUGCUCUGUCUCUCUCUGUCUCAAAAAUAAAUAAACGUUAAAAAAAAAAAUUUAAAAUAUUCUGUUAGGACUGCCACACAAAUAUUCUUGUACUUUUUAAAAGCCUGAGCGUUCGUUUAGAUUUUAUAUCCUAUUUUUUUCCCCUCAGAAAUGUGGUAAUUGCAUUUUUCAUCUGGAAAUUGAGGGUUUUGUGCCGCAUCUAAAUUUAUUUUGGUCUCUGAGCAUACAUGGUUCUGAUAAUCACAACAAAUAUAGAUUAAUAUUAAGAGCUACUUGUCUUUGUUCUGAGUCACCUCUUCAUUCAUUGUAGGCUCUUUCUACAUUGGAAAAGCUUUGAGGAGAUUGUUAAUUGACCUUAUUUUCAAAUGAUGGGAGCUGGUGGGAGGGGUGCAGUGAUGAAUCAGGAGUUUAGUUAUUAUUGGCUGAUUUAAAUAAAGUGGCUGAACAUGUGUCUUUAAGGGACACUUUCAUAAGAGAUCAGUUUCUCUUUUGUUAAGCUCUGUUUCCUUUAUGUCUUCAGCAAUAGAAAAUAAGAUGUAAGUCGGUGCAAACAUGUUUCCCAGCCAUACCUGGACACAACCAAUAGCAACAAGGAAGCCUAAAUAAGCUGGUUGUCUAAAAUGAGGCUACAACAUGAUACACUGAGACAGUACUGCCUUUGGUGGAUACGCUGAGCAGAAAGUCCAUGUAAAGCAAUUUGAGUCUGAUAAUCAUUACUCUCUACACGGAUGAGAAAGAAAAACAACCUUGGAGAUUCUUGGCCUGCUGUGGCUCAGAGACGGCCUGACUCAACAUUUAUAAACACAGCUAUACUUGGGGAUGUGCUUGGCGAGGCUGAAAAACAGGGAACGCAAGCCCUACUAUUCCUUGAAGUUUUAAAAUGGAGAACUAUUGAAAACAUAGUAGAACAUGGAGAAUCCCAGGACCACUGAGCUUCUAGCUGUACUGGCAGGUAGGGUGUUAGCCCUGCAAAGUGAGGGGUUUUUGUUUUGUUUUGUUUUGUUUUUUCUGUAGCCAGUCACUAAUGGGAACAUUUCAUGGCAAAGUUUUAUACCCAACCAUUGAAUGAAUACUAAACCCCAUUUAAAGUAUUGUUAAGUAUUUAAGAAAGAUACUAAAAAGUCUUUUGUCUUCUAUAAUUGCGAUGUCUUGAAAAGCAUGUGACUUAUACUAUUUCUCCAUGCAUGAAAUUUUCAGGUUUAUGACAUUGACAUGACAUAAAAAUUAUGUAGCACAACUAAAAUUUUGUUUACAAUGGUGCUUAUUUCAAACCUCAUCAUAAAAUCAAUUUUAGAAAAAAAUUCUCCACUUUUUUUGUUUGCCUAAAGUUAGAUACCUUUCAAACUGAAGCCAUUGUCUAUACAUUAUAUGUGAUGGCAAAUGUGUGCGUUAGGAGCGCCUGGGUGGCUCAGUCCGUUAAGUGUCUGACUCUUGGUUUCAGCUCAGGUCGUGAUCUCACAGUUCGUGGGUUUGAGCCCCAUGUCGGGUUGUAUGCUGCCAGUGCA